rnacentral:rRNA from 1 species
GACGAACGCUGGCGGCGUGCUUAACACAUGCAAGUCGAACGGUAAGGCCCUUCGGGGUACACGAGUGGCGAACGGGUGAGUAACACGUGGGUGAUCUGCCCUGCACUUCGGGAUAAGCCUGGGAAACUGGGUCUAAUACCGGAUAGGACCACUGCCUGCAUGGGUGGUGGUGGAAAGCUUUUGCGGUGUGGGAUGGGCCCGCGGCCUAUCAGCUUGUUGGUGGGGUGAUGGCCUACCAAGGCGACGACGGGUAGCCGGCCUGAGAGGGUGACCGGCCACACUGGGACUGAGAUACGGCCCAGACUCCUACGGGAGGCAGCAGUGGGGAAUAUUGCACAAUGGGCGCAAGCCUGACGCAGCAACGCCGCGUGGGGGACGAAGGCUCUCGGGUUGUAAACCCCUUUCGACAGGAACGAAACUGACGGUACCUGGAGAAGAAGCCCCGGCUAACUACGUGCCAGCCGCCGCAGUAA